UACGGGGGGGGCAAGCGUUGUUCGGAAUUACUGGGCGUAAAGGGCUCGUAGGCGGCCAACUAAGUCGGACGUGAAAUCCCUCGGCUUAACCGAGGAACUGCGUCCGAUACUGGAUGGCUUGAGUUUGGGAGAGGGAUGCGGAAUUCCAGGUGUAGCGGUGAAAUGCGUAGAUAUCUGGAGGAACACCGGUGGCGAAGGCGGCAUCCUGGACCAACACUGACGCUGAGGAGCGAAAGCCAGGGGAGCAAACGGG
rnacentral:rRNA from 1 species